UGAUAAGGGUUUUAUAAGUUUAGGAACUGUACAACAGAAAAAGUGUUUAAUAUGGAACUUAGAACAGAGUUUUGUGAAUAAUUGUUAGCUUAGUUCCAAAGGCAAGUAGAUUCAUCUUGAAAUAUUAUUCAUACAAUUGGAACUUAAAACUGCGUAUUGUAAAUAAUUGUUAUCUUAGAUACCAAGGCAAUUUUCUUGGCUGCUGUUGUUUAGAAACAUGUAACCAGCACAGUGGUACAAAAUGUUUGACGGAAACCAUGUCGAAAUGCCAUGAAGCAAAAUUCAUUUGAGAAAGAAAACAGCAUUCGGAUGAUCCGACAUAACUAAAAUCCGGAAUGUCUCGAAUUAUCUUAUGUUUACUGUAUACUGUCAAAAAGCAUGAAAUUGCCCCACUGAAGAACAACUAUUCACUUGCCAUAACUUGCCCUCAGGCCCUCUUGACCACUGAAUUGAAGAUAUGGAACGCCGAAAAAUA